rnacentral:rRNA from 1 species
CCUACGGGGGGCAGCAGUAGGGAAUUUUCGUCAAUGGGCGCAAGCCUGAACGAGCAAUGCCGCGUGAACGAGGAAGGUCUUCGGAUCGUAAAGUUCUGUUGAAUGGGAACCCGAGCGGAGAGAGGAAAUGAACUCCGAUUGAUAUUACCCUUCGAGGAAGUCACGGCUAACUACGUGCCAGCAGCCUCGGUAAUACGUCGGUGUCGAGCGUUAUCCGGAAUGAUUGGGCGUAAAGGGUGCGUAGGCGGCCUGCUAAGUCUGGAGUGAAAGGUACCGGCUCAACCGGUAUAGGCUCUGGAAACUGGCGGGCUAGAGAGCAGGAGAGGGCGGUGGAACUCCAUGUGUAGCGGUAAAAUGCGUAGAUAUAUGGAAGAACACCAGUGGCGAAGGCGGCCGCCUGGCCUGUUACUGACGCUGAGGCACGAAAGCGUGGGGAGCAAAUAGGAUUAGAUACCCUUGUAGUC